AGUCAUGUCCUUUCCUACAAUCAGUGUAAUUAAUCAAACAAUCUAGUUGUACCGCAAUAACUCUAUUUCAGAACCAGCGCCAACACACGUAGUUCAGAUGGAGUACAAGUGCGGGGUGGGGUGGGAGGGCCACCGUCUUAUUGCAGAUUCUGUUGUCCCAUUGAGGGCUGGCAGGGAGGUCUGGGAAGAGGCAAGGUCCUCUUAUCAGCAAUGGGACAGACGCAAAGCACAGGGCCAGCGAGGGAAGGUAAAGGGCACAGAAGACCCCUAUCUUGACUUCAACAAGUGAGUGAGGUUCUCAUCCGAGCUGCAAUGCCAAGCCCAGGUCCCAAAUCCAGAACAGAAGGGUAGCUGUCCUGACUGAGGAUAGUCUGCUUCUAGCAGGGAGCUAGCUGUUGGGCCAGGGGCUCACAUGAGGGCCUCUGCCUCUAGGAAAAGAGCAGGGCUGGAAGGACAGCAGGGACAAGAGUGAAGACGGAGGCUAAAAGGACAGUAAGACGCUUCCUCUGGUACAGGGCAAAGGAGCAUGGCACAGGGUAGGGAAGAGCUGGAACACUCACCAAACAGACCCCUGGCAAGGAAGAACCAAGCUUAGAUGAUGGUGUGGGGGUGUUGGUGUUUGCCCAGGUGUCCAGUGGCGAAGCCUUAGGUACCAGACUCCAGGUUUCAGCACAUGCGACAGUGGAUCACUUUGACUCAGGAGCGCUUGUGUCACACUGCUGGCCUGCUCUGGGACACUAGGCCUCAAGUCAGACAACCAGAAGUAGGCAGGAGUCGGUGCCACACUUCCGAAGGUAGGCAGAACUGUGGUCGUCUGAACAGGAACUCCUGAUUCAAGACGUGAGUGGCCUGGGAUGGGGCAAGACUGAGGAUAUAGCUACCUCAGCCGUCGCGACCCGUGGCAUCUACACAGAGGAGGCCAAGGGUGAAGAGUUCACUUGUUUCAAAAUUGCUGCAAAUUACCGAGUGUUGCAGCCAUCCGUAGCCCAGAGGCAGAAAGAUGAGUAAGACAGGAUCCUAACCUUGACAGAUUCAUUCUAGGAGAGAUAAACUGGGAAGAAGACUCCAGUGCCUUAGGGUGCUUAGUCCGGGUCGCGGCACUCUUAAAUGAGGACAUGAGAGCAGGUUUCUAUAACUUGCAUUUUAUUUCACUAAUACUUGUUAGCUUACCAUAUACUAAAUUUAGUCAUCCAUGGACUAUUCCACUGAAACGUUGGACUUCCCUCCUUCAAUUCACCCCCAAAUGCACAGGCUUUGGUUACAAAAAAAAGUUCAGUCAUUGUUGAAAAGGAAUUCCUUUGAAAUGUUUUGGGGGUUUUGUGUAAAGUUUAAUAAGGCAUUUGCAAUGUAAAAAUUGGCUUUAUCAAAAAGAAUACAAUGGUACAGAAAGUAGAACUGUCUCAGAUAAUUCAUAUCUGGCUGUCAGAAGCUUGUACCUAUCACCCUCCUCUACAAAGGGUAUAACCAACCCACACCUGAGCUCCCAGCAAUAACUGUACUUCAGGACCUGGGGCAAGGCUCACCGUGGCUCCCCUUGCAUUUAGGAAGCAGUGGUACACGUAUGUGGGACUGCUGUGGGUCAGACAGCUAGGGAAGAGGCAGCUUUUGCUUCAUUUCAGUUUGAGCGCCGAAUCUUUGAAGACAGCCAGAGAAGUCAGUUUAAGAAUUACUGUGGGGCUUUUAACUGGACAACUGGAAGGAGAGAGAGAGGGAAGGAUUUGGAGAGCAGGACGACUUGGCCAGGGGAGGGUUGGGCCUGGAAGACAAGGUAGGGUCUGGGAACCUGGGAAGGACAGGCCACCUUCUCAGAGCACGGUACCAAUGUCAAUGGACUCCCCAAGGGCCCUGGGGAGGCCUAUGACAUCCUCGGGGCUGCAGCACAUGCGCAGUCCCAAGCAGCGUGAUGUGGCAACACCUCGAGUGCGAGUAGACACAGCUUCCAGGGAGCUUCAAGGCAGAUCUGCCUUGAUUUUCCAGAGAACUGACCCCACAUCCAGGGUCCUGCUGCGUUAGCAAUACAUCCUGGGAACAAUCGUGUUGAGCCUGGGGCGGUUUUUUGCUUUCUCCUUUCCUGGCUAAAGAGUCUCAAUUAUAUCUUCAUUCCUUAAAGGAAAAUUCCCAAAGGUCUCCUCCAUGUGCAGUGGAUGUGCUUUGGAUAAGCAAUGGGUAUAUGGUGGCCAGACCCACUAUCGCUGAUUCUGCCCUCUACUGGUGCCACCCGGUGCACUGAAACGUUGGGUGGGGUGAACCAGAAGCUCUUUCUGCUGAGAUCUGCCUCAGCGAGCCCACAGCAGCACCUCCUGUCCCCUCUGGAGGCCUCCUAUGUUGGUACCGGACGGAGUCUAACAGGGCUGGCCUCUCUCAUCGUGUCCUCGGGCGAGGGCCAGCUUUUCACUUGCCCUUAUGUGAGUGUCUCUCCCGCGCCUGGGUCCCUGCCUGGUGUUUCUUCCUGUGUCAUUUUCAUCCACCUUCCCCUUACUGCCUGCUGCACACUUACAGCCGGUCAGUCUACAGACUGCAAACAUUCGGGAACCCUUGAAUGAGCGGGGUUGAGGAGGUCAGGGUGUUACCUUAGUGGCCUCCUCAGGGUGAAGAGCUGGGGGGCUGUGUGCUCACCGUGCCACCCCCCCCUGAUGUUCUCUGUGCGUGCGUGCACACACAUUUGGAAGGGCUUGGCAGACAGGACGUAGCUGGUGUGGGAAUGCAGCAAGGUGUCAAGGGAAAUGAGAAGCACUGCGUACCCUGUUGAAGGGAGACUGGUUUACAUAGGCAUCAGCCUUCCAGGGAGAAGUGGCAACACCGACAAACAAAAACAAAAACCACAAGAAGGGCCUCAAGAUAGAACAGCUUAGUUUACUGCUGUCUCGCCUUCAUUGUAGCCCACCUCAUUUACAGAUGCGCGUCUGGGUCAGGCUUGCAUGGCGGUGCACGGAGAAGAAAGAAGGGGAAAGUGUCUACCUACAGAUGAGUGUAUGGGGAGGACUAAGAGUAGAGAGGGAGGCAGGAGAGACGGGCUGCAAAAUUCAGAAAAGAGGAAGAGAAUGGAGACUAGUUUGCUCUAGAAGUAGGAGUUUUGAUCACUUUAAUUGUUGUUCUCUACUAAACGGUAUUGUUGGCCUAUAAUUGUGUUGCAGUAAUCAUCCCAGUUUUUCUUUUGAGGACUAGGAGACACUAGAGUUAGUGGGUCCCUAUGGAGUUUGUCCAGGGUGGCUGUUAGAACAAGUAUCUUUUGGAGGUAGGUUCAAGGGGAUGUUUGGCUUCUGUUUUCUUCCACAGUUCCCCCACUACCAUACAUUUCCUUUCUUAUUUCCUACCGCCUCUCCUAUUUUUCCUCCCAAGUCAUCUACUUGCAGAUGAUUAUAAUUAAUACCUGAGAACUAUCAGGCAGCCGUAGCUACAUGUAAGUUUCCAAACGUAGAGGGUCAACCAGAGCCAAAGUCUAUGAGGAGAACACCAUGGUUCUUUCUCCAAGAGAAGCAAUGAAAUCGGUCUGUUCUGAGGUACUUAUUAGGCUCUGAUCUUUUGUUGUGUCAAUUAUCACACAAAUUGCAGUACAGGAGCUUCCUACCUUCAAUGUCUGGUAACUAACAAGAUAAGCUGAUUAUUCUUCUGCCCCGGAGAGCAGGUUUAGCCUCUGGUGUGGUCUUUAAUAUGUCGGAGGGGGUCUCAGAGGCCUUCCCGCUGUGGCAGCCCCAGUGGCAGGCUGGCUGCCGGAGUGACUGAUGGGCCAGAGCUUUGCCCCUCUGGGGGCUGGUAGAAGGUGUAUUUUCUGUGGCAGGGGUGGGAAGGGAGAAAGAAAGGAGAGAAGAGAUGCUUCAGCAGGAGAGGAAGGUGGAAUCUCUACGGUCAGUUUCAGGGUGAUUGUGAGUGAGAGGGAAAAUACCUCACAAGAGCCCAGGGGGUACCAUGUGGCCUUGCUCUUGAGGUAACCAUCGAAGUGGGUGUGUGCCUGGAGGAAUGUCGCCCUUCAGAACUGGGAUACAAGCUGGAUGCAGAGCAAGGUGGACAGAAGAGUUUUGCCCAUUAGGGCUAUACUGACUGGUACCAAAAAGGGCAUGAUGACUUGUGGUGUUGAGGGCUGAGGUGAGACUGGGGUGAGGGGUGAGGUCAGAGAAGGCACCUCUACCCUCUGUCUAGGGUUUGCUCCUCGUGGAUCUCAGCUUCUGUGUCCCGGGACUUAGCACGCCAGACAACCCUAUGGAACGAGACAAAGACUUUUCGGAGCAGGAGAGCCAACCAGACGGGGAGAAGCAGCUUGGUCGCAGUACCUCUGGCUAGCAGGAGUGGCUGUCUUAUCAGAAGGCAAACUCUCCUGGGCUCUCGCCUGCCUCCCAGAAUCGCCCAGGGUUUAACUUGGAGCAGCUGUGCUCUGUUACACCCCCCCUCCUGCUCUUUCUUGGUCACUGCUGGGCUGGAUGGGACUGAAGCACAGACCCUCCUCUACUGCUCCGGGUGCUCCUGCCUCUCAGAGUGGCUUCUCCAGCAUACGGCACCUGGCAGGGUGAGACGGCCGCAGCCAGCAACCUUGUGUGGCCUGUAUGGAGGAGCUUCUGCUAGCUGCUCCAGAGACCUGCAGACAGCGGCCUGGACUUGAAGAGUCUCCACCGUUACCUAGGGAGUCACGUUCUCUUCAGGCCAUCCAGUCUUGUCUGGGGCCAGUUUUCUGGAGAAAUAGGAAAGUGGUCAGUACACUGUUAGCUUCCAAGGUAGGAAUGCAUCCUUCCUACCUUCUAGCUAAUGAAGGGCUGCACAGCUUCUCAUAAACGGCACCUGGUGGGCGGUCAGCCAGGAGAGGCCCCGUCCUGGGAAGUCCUGGUUGCUGGGCAGUGGGCAGCGGACUGCACGAGGACCUCUGGCUGCUCAGUUGGGAGUGGGAUUAGGGCACACUGACUUUCCCAGUGAGAGGCACCUCCAAUGGCAGUCGCUCUGACAGAGGAUGCCCUGGGACUUGGUGUCUCUCCAGCAGUAUUUUCUUGCCCUGGGGCAGGAGAAACUCACUGGUGUCAGCGCCUGUGGAACACAGAGAAGAAAGCUCCCAUCUGAGACUGGGAGGCGGGCCUCCUGCGUGCCGGCGGCUUCCCAGCCGUGGUGGGCUCCGAGCGCGGGGCUCUGUGGUCGAGGUACUGCGUGGUACCGUUACAUCUGUGCUGAAAAGCAUUUCAGAGCUUCACACUGGAGCAUCUGCAUGUAGAGCUCUGGUGGUCCAAGCUUAUUUCCUCCUGCCUUGUGGAGGGUUAGCAACGGGAAGGGUCCAUCACUGACGGCUGCCUUUUCUCACUUCCACCCAGGUGGGGGAAAACCUGUAGCUGGCCGAAGGCUUGCACCUUGAAUGGUGCCUGAAAUACAGUCUGAUAAGAAGUGGUCAAAGGCAGGUGGGAAGGCCCAUAUCCUAGAGAUAGAAGCUAAAAACAGACCAGCGACCUGCCAGGCAAGGGGGAGCCAAAUUAGGGCCAAAACUGUGCAGAAAACAGGAUGGGUAGAUAGGAAGGGAAGGCUUGUUCUUUUAGACCUGAGUCCAAAGUGCAAGUCUCAAUGCAGAGCUCGGUCCUAUGCAGGGAACCAGUAACAGGGUCCAGUGGUUCAAGUCAAGGAAGAGUUUGACCCCCUCAGACACAUUGCUUCCCUUUUCCUCUUUUGACUUACAAUGUAACAAAGAUUUUGAUCCUACAAAAGCCCCGUGCAAAGUGCUUGGACUUGGGAAAAGAGCAGUAGAAGACGGUUUUGGCCCGCAAAGAGCACACACACGGUCAUGUUCACGACGUCUGCCCCUCUUCGCCUCCUCUUGCUCCCCUCCUUCCUCCAGGGGCAUUGAAGCACUGAAUGUGUACCCAGAAAAUUCAUUUUCUUGCCCUAAUUCCUUCUAUCUCCAAUCCCUCCCCUUUCUCUCCCAAAAUAUAAGCAGCAGAAGGAGAUUUGGGAGUUAGAAGGAAGACAGACCUCAGGGAAGAUGCCUGGUUGGCAUCGCAAGUCCACCGUGUGCAACUCAAAUGCUCGCGGCCUGUCGGCACUCAGAGCCUGGGCUGGGGUAGGUUAGCGCUCUGUUUCCUUUGGUACAGUGAGUCUCAGACUCACAGACAAGUUCCGUUCUGGAAGCGUUGCUUGUGAGGCGGAUUUGUUCCUAACCUGGCGGAGUCAUACAGGACACCUGUGAAAGGGCAUAGCAGGAAUGUUCACAUGCCAGGGACUUACUGUGAUUAAUUUCUGCUGCUAGUCCCAUUCCUUUUUAAAAACUGAUGUAUAUCUCUUCCUAAAUAAAUGCAAACCGGUUGUGGGUCUUUCAUGUACAAUCCACUUUGUAGAUGAGACACAGGGCGUUGCUGAUCUGCCUGGCAGAGCUAAGGAGUGAGCUGAGAAGAUCUCUCCAUCCCCCACCCCCCGCUCACCACCACCCGGACCUCAGGUGAUUGAGCCCAAGGCAAAAAAAAAAAAAAAAAAAAAACAACUUCCAUAAUGGCUGGCCCUGGGGUCUCCUAUUUGCUUGCUUUUUCUUGUCUAAAAUGAGGUUGGAGGCCUUGAAAGACGGAGGAGGCUUAGAAAAAAGAGAUGCACAAGGGGUCACAUCAUAGAGCGAGUGGAUGAAAGGCUGUGCCUGGCUUUAUUUUGCUCUGAACACCUUUCAUCCUACCUGUUUAGGAAGCUGCCAUUCCUUUGAAUAUUAAAGGAACUCAAAUUUCUUUCAUUUAUAAGUACACAGCAUUCCUAAAAUGCAAAUGUCCCUAGUAGGGGUGGUAUUUAGUCCAUAGGGCAGAGUCUCGAGGGGCAGAGUCACCAGGAAGUGGGAGAUUUAAGACCUUCUGAGAGAAAUUUUAUCUGCUUAACUGACAGCACUUAUGCCUGUCCCUCAGCCAGUGCUGUAUCUGAUACCUAACAGAAAAGACAGAGGGAGAGAGGUUUCCAUCCAAGCACGGUCCCUGCUCCCCAGCAUGUACACUCCUGGACCUGAAGCAAUGACAACAUAAGAAAUAUCUGUUCAAAGGCUAGGAUCACUUCAGAUUUCCAGCUUAUGUGUCUCUGAAGUGUAGCAUUUCUUUCUCCCUUAAUUGGCCCUUUGAAAAAGACUAAAGUAGCUGCACAAUUCCCACACAUGUUCAUCCUCCAAACUGCAUACAAGUUUGCCUGGGACAGGGCUCCUUCUCUGAAUCUGUAUGCGCAGGACCCCCACAAGCAGCCGAAGUUUGUGCGAGCCUGGCAAUGUGGCUGUAUUCAGGGAGCCUGUGGCAUUACUCUCUGUCCACGGAGAGUACACACAGAUCUCUCUUCCUCCUCCUGGUUGGUUUUCUCUUUGUGAUUAGUAAUUGGCUUCUCUUGGUACGCUACGAUCUAUUACAAAAGCCAAACAUUCAGAGGGUGAGUUGAAACGACACAAUUUGGUUAUAAUUUAUGUUAGCCCCUGACAUAUAUAUAUUUUUUUUAAUGAUUUCGUCUCUAAGCAACUGAUCUCUUAGCAACAAGAAGCACCUUUAUAAAAGAUGGCACACAAAGAGUGAUUGCUAGAAAAACCACCCGGUUCUUAAACAGCCGCGCAUCAUUAAGAAAACUCACCAUCUUCAAGAGUCCAAAACUAGAAGUGACCAGCAGACUCAGGUACCCUGGAGUUGAAAACUUAAAUGCCUUUCUAGAAAAUUGGAGUUGGAGAUAAGAAACAAUUAUUUCAUCUGUACCCUUUCAACAAGAUUGUAUAAUUAUAAACCCACUUGAGGGUACUCAAAGUGCAUAAAGAAAGAUGAGGGUUUAUGAAGGAAGCAAAAAAAAAAAAAAAUCUUCCUGAGUUGGGAAACUAUUGCAUAAAGAUACUAUAGACUUAAGAAAAUUGCAGUUUCAAAGACAGUUGGGAUGGUGAUACUGACUUCUUUUUUUUUUUUUUUAAAGAACGCUGUCCCAUUUUUCUUUAAAUUGAACUGUAUGCCAACAUCUUAGAAACUGCCCCCCCAAACUAAAGUGGGGUACCUUGGAUACAAAACUUAGCAAUGGCCAUUCAAAAUCAGGACAAUCUCAGAAUAUUCAGGACUUACGGUUGCUGUGCUAUAGAAAGGUACCUCAGCAGCACAAUGCAGCUGUACUUGAUUUAAAAGCUGUUCGCAAUUUGCACUUCUGCUAUUGCUACCAACUUCCGGCAGAAAGAAUUCCUCCUCGUGAUGAGUUUGUGUGGAAGUUAGCAGUGUUAGUAUUUUAAAUUGAAUUGCAGAAAACUUUUCUUUAUAGCAAUGCACUAUGAAAGCACAGAGUAGCAUUCUGUAUGUUUUGUUCUUUAGGACUAAAGAUACUUAUAUUGCAGUGUGGUGAUUAUUGUAGAAACGUGUUUGUGGCUCUGAAGUCAAGCACCUUGAAUAAAUAAUUACAUCCUU